UCUUAUCUUCCCCAUUCUUCUCUUCCUACCUCCUCCUCUGUUGACUCACGCUAGAUCCCCCAUCCACAGCCGGCACUCUCUGGUGGCCGCCCCUCCCCUUCGUCACCAUUGUCGGCGGACACGCAGGCCCAUGCUCUUCCCCGCCCCGCCCCUUCUUCACAUCCUAUUCCCGAAGUGCUCGAGGAGGCGCUCGAGCUCGGCAUGCUCGCCGGCGACACCGGAGCCCUCCCUCCUCCUGAUGCACUCUCCGUCGCCGCCAUGAGCGUCUCUACCUUCUCCCGCGCGCCAUGAAUCCUCCCUCCCCCCUACUCGAGACGCCAUCAAGUCUGGAGCAGGAGCAGCUGCUACUCCCGACCUCCGAUUCCUUCUUUCCAUGGAUGACCACGAAGACCUCCGCAUGAUGUGCUGCUGCUCGGGGCCCUCCCUAUGCUUCUCCUCGCUCGUAAGGGUCCAGGGUUAGCUGCUCAGGGGCCAUGGUGUGUUCCGUGUGGCGCUGCCUUCGCGGCCGCCGCCGUUCCCUUGUUGUGUCUCUGAGACUGGAGGUCCCUGCUCGCCAACUCACAGACGGUUGUUCUCCGACCAGUUAAAAAAGAAUUUUCUGAAGGAGGAGGUGCCGAAAGGGGAUGGGAGCAACAAGUCUGAAUCGAAGAGAACUGAUGGCAUGUCCUGCCAUGAAGAAUUUGAAGCGGUCAGAAGACAUAAGAGCCCGGUCCUAUCCUAUGUUAAGGCCAUGCUGAUGUGUAAGAGUUUGCGGGUGACAUCCUCCAUGGCAAUCAUAUUCCCUCCAACAUCCUUCAGGCCAUGGCGACCAGGUCAAAGAAGUCGAACCUGAAGAAGUGCAGGGAAGAAUUAUAGUUGCGUGUGGCUGGCUGGUUCAGGGGAAUUUCAGGGUGGCGCGGGUGCCGGAGCAGGCUCCUAGGCACUGGCGAUCUGUCGGACGGAUAUUAGAAACGAAGGUGAAGGAGGAGCGGCCGCCCACUCGACGUUGCGAUGUAGGGCGGCGAGGGAGCCCGGCAGGGAGGCCUCAAUGCGCUGCAGGACGUCGAGGGAACCGUCCAGCGAGGCGACGAUGCGAUGCAGGGAUCGAGGCCGCCGUGCAUGGAGGCGACAGGGCGCGACAGGGCUGCUGAGCUUCGUCUGGAGCGGUGGCGAGGAAAGGCAGGGAGAGGGGCCAGGGACACGAUUAGGUUCGGCUUCCUUUUUUUGUGAGUUGGUUAGAUGGUUAGAUUAGCGUGAUUUGAGGGGCUGCGGAUGCGGGACGGAGAGUCUCAUAUUUUCAUCUGGUGGAGUACGGUCAGUCUAUUGAAACUACUAAGCGCACACCAGAUCUUGAAUAAAUUAAUGAUGGCUGUUA